rnacentral:rRNA from 1 species
AACACAUGCAAGUCGAACGGCAGCAUGAAAUGGGGUAACCCAUUUUGAUGGCGAGUGGCGGACGGGUGAGUAAUAUGUAGGAAUCUACCUAGAGGUACGGGAUAACUUAGGGAAACUUAAGCUAAUACCACAUAAUCCCCAAGGGGGAAAGCAGGGGACCGCAAGGCCUUGCGCCUUAUGAUGAGCCUACAUCGGAUUAGCUUGUUAGUGGGGUAAUGGCUCACCAAGGCGACGAUCCUUAGCUGGUUUGAGAGAAUGACCAGCCACACUGGGACUGAGACACGGCCCAGACUCCUACGGGAGGCAGCAGUGGGGAAUCUUGGACAAUGGGCGCAAGCCUGAUCCAGCCAUGCCGCGUGAGUGACGAAGGUCUUCGGAUUGUAAAGCUCUUUUGCCAGGGACGAUAAUGACGGUACCUGGAGAAUAAGCCCCGGCUAACUUCGUGCCAGCAGCCGCCGUAA